rnacentral:rRNA from 1 species
AUAUCAAUAAGCGGAGGAGAAGAAACUAACAAGGAUUCCCCUAGUAACUGCGAGUGAAGCGGGAAAAGCUCAAAUUUAAAAUCUGGCGGUCUCCGGCUGUCCGAGUUGUAAUCUAGAGAAGUGUUAUCCGCGCUGGACCGUGUACAAGUCUCCUGGAAUGGAGCGUCAUAGAGGGUGAGAAUCCCGUCUUUGGCACGGACCCCAGGGCUUCUGUGAUGCGCUCUCAAAGAGUCGAGUUGUUUGGGAAUGCAGCUCAAAAUGGGUGGUAAAUUUCAUCUAAAGCUAAAUAUUGGCCAGAGACCGAUAGCGCACAAGUA